CUUUAGCAAAACAAGUAUUAAAGGUCCUGCCUGCCCAGUGAAGUUCUUUAAACGGCCGCGGUAUUCUAACCGUGCAAAGGUAGCGUAAUCACUUGUCUUCUAAAUAAAGACCUGUAUGAACGGCUAAAUGAGGACAAACCUGUCUCUUAUAACCUAUCAGUGAAACUGAUCUACCAGUACAAAAGCUGGUAUAAACACAUAAGACGAGAAGACCCUGUGGAGCUUUAGACAGACUACUACAUAAAUCCUAGUACCAUGUCUUCAGUUGGGGCGACUUCGGAACAAAAUAAAACUUCCGAGUAAAGGUUCAAUCAAACCUUCACCCAGGCCUACUAGCCACAGCACAAAUACGACCCGGUCCCACCGAUCAACGAACCAAGUUACCCCAGGGAUAACAGCGCCAUCUUCUUCAAGAGUCCAUAUCGACAAGAAAGGUUUACGACCUCGAUGUUGGAUCAGGACACCCCGGUGGUGCAGCCGCUACCAAUGGUUCGUUUGUUCAACGAUUAACAGUCCUACGUGAUCUGAGUUCAGACCGGAGAAAUCCAGGUCGGUUUCU
rnacentral:rRNA from 1 species